UACAUAGGGCUCAAGCGUUGUUCGGAUUCAUUGGGCGUAAAGGGCGCGUAGGCGGCCUUUCAAGCGACGGGUGAAAUCCCUCGGCUUAACCGAGGAACUGCCUGUCAGACUGGAAGGCUUGAGACCGGGAGAGGUGAGUGGAAUUCCCAGUGUAGCGGUGAAAUGCGUAGAUAUUGGGAGGAACACCAGUGGCGAAGGCGGCUCACUGGACCGGUACUGACGCUGAGGCGCGAAAGCGUGGGGAGCAAACAGG
rnacentral:rRNA from 1 species